ACAGGUUAAUAUUCCUGUACUUGGUGUUACUGCGAAGGGGGGACGGAGAAGGCUAUGUUGGCCGGGCGACGGUUGUCCCGGUUUAAGCGUGUAGGCUGGUUUUCCAGGCAAAUCCGGAAAAUCAAGGCUGAGGCGUGAUGACGAGGCACUACGGUGCUGAAGCAACAAAUGCCCUGCUUCCAGGAAAAGCCUCUAAGCAUCAGGUAACAUCAAAUCGUACCCCAAACCGACACAGGUGGUCAGGUAGAGAAUACCAAGGCGCUUGAGAGAACUCGGGUGAAGGAACUAGGCAAAAUGGUGCCGUAACUUCGGGAGAAGGCACGCUGAUAUGUAGGUGAAGCGACUUGCUCGUGGAGCUGAAAUCAGUCGAAGAUACCAGCUGGCUGCAACUGUUUAUUAAAAACACAGCACUGUGCAAACACGAAAGUGGACGUAUACGGUGUGACGCCUCCCCGGUGCCGGAAGGUUAAUUGAUGGGGUUAGCGCAAGCGAAGCUCUUGAUCGAAGCCCCGGUAAACGGCGGCCGUAACAAUAACGGUCCUGAGGUAGCGAAAUUCCUUGUCGGGUAAGUUCCGACCUGCACGAAUGGCGUAAUGAUGGCCAGGCUGUCUCCACCCGAGACUCAGUGAAAUUGAACUCGCUGUGAAGAUGCAGUGUACCCGCGGCAAGACGGAAAGACCCCGUGAACCUUUACUAUAGCUUGACACUGAACAUUGAGCCUUGAUGUGUAGGAUAGGUGGGAGGCUUAGAAGUGUGGACGCCAGUCUGCAUGGAGCCGACCUUGAAAUACCACCCUUUAAUGUUUGAUGUUCUAACGUUGACCCGUAAUCCGGGUUGCGGACAGUGUCUGGUGGGUAGUUUGACUGGGGCGGUCUCCUCCUAAAGAGUAACGGAGGAGCACGAAGGUUGGCUAAUCCUGGUCGGACAUCAGGAGGUUAGUGCAAUGGCAUAAGCCAGCUUGACUGCGAGCGUGACGGCGCGAGCAGGUGCGAAAGCAGGUCAUAGUGAUCCGGUGGUUCUGAAUGGAAGGGCCAUCGCUCAACGGAUAAAAGGUACUCCGGGGAUAACAGGCUGAUACCGCCCAAGAGUUCAUAUCGACGGCGGUGUUUGGCACCUCGAUGUCGGCUCAUCACAUCCUGGGGCUGAAGUAGGUCCCAAGGGUAUGGCUGUUCGCCAUUUAAAGUGGUACGCGAGCUGGGUUUAGUACGUCGUGAGACAGUUCGGUCCCUAUCUGCCGUGGGCGCUGGAGAACUGAGGGGGGCUGCUCCUAGUACGAGAGGACCGGAGUGGACGCAUCACUGGUGUUCGGGUUGUCAUGCCAAUGGCACUGCCCGGUAGCUAAAUGCGGAAGAGAUAAGUGCUGAAAGCAUCUAAGCACGAAACUUGCCCCGAGAUGAGUUCUCCCUGACCCUUUAAGGGUCCUGAAGGAACGUUGAAGACGGCGACGUUGAUAGGCCGGGUGUGUAAGCGCAGCGAUGCGUUGAGCUAACCGGUACUAUUGAACC
rnacentral:rRNA from 1 species